UGCUUAAAGAGCUUUGGCAUGCAGAGAUGACACGAGGAAAGCCAAGGUGUGGAUGGAAUCAAACUUGGUGAGGAAUGUGAAAAAUAACAAGGGAUUCUACGUGUACAUUGGUCAGAAGAGACAGACCAUAAGACUGUAUCCCCACUGAUAAACGACAAGACACGGAGAAGGCAAGGGUACUCAAAAAAUUCUUUGCCUCAGUCUUCACUGGCAGUCAGGAUUCCCAUGUUUCUUGCAUCCUUGAAUCUCUAGGCAGGGGCUGGAGAAGCAAAAUCCCCCCCACUGUAAGAAAAGUGCAAUUUUGAGACUACUUGAUGAGACUGAAUGUGUACAAGUCUGUGGGGAUGGACGACAUGUACCCCAGGGUCCUGAAGGAACUGGCUGAUUAGUUGCUGAGCCAGUACUUAAAGGCCUUCCAGUAUUUAAGGGGAGAUUUGAAACAGGAGGGUAACUGACUUUUUACACAGUCUGGUAGUGAUGGGACUAGGGGAAAUGGUUUUAAACUAAAAGAGGGGAGAUUUAGGUUAGAUAUUGGGAAGAAACUUUUUACUCAAAGGGUGGUAAAGCACAGGAACAGGCUACACUGAGAAUAGUUUAUUUCUCAUCUGGGGCCAGAACAAGAACAGGCAUAUGGCUCUGUAGCUUCAUUGCAUAUUAUGAUUCAGACCAAUAGUCACCUUUUAGUUGAGUGGGGGAUGUUAGCUGACUAUUUCUUCUUUUGACUUCUUGUUUAUUCCGUUUCACACUGGUUUGCAGCCAGGCAUGGAAGUAGAAUUGCUCAAACUGCAGAAAAGCCUGCGUUAUGUUACCUCCAACAGAAACACCACAUUUCUGGCAAGAUGUGUUCCUUCUGAAGAAAGAGAAAUAGUCUACUGACUUGAGAGGGAGAAAAGAACAGCU
rnacentral:lncRNA from 1 species